rnacentral:ncRNA from 2 species
GCCGGCCGCGCGGGAGAGCGCGCGGUGCGGAGCGAUCCGCGCCUCGCCACCGAAGGAGCAACCGCCCCGGAAACUCUCAGGUUCGCAGGACCGCGCAGGCUGG